rnacentral:lncRNA from 1 species
CAUCAAAAUCUACGCACGAGCAGAGAGAGGAGUGUAGGAGUCAUACUUGGCGCGUGUCGGCCUUGGGCUCUGCCGUCGGGGCAACCUCUGGUUCCGCUGUGGGGGUGAGACCCGACCGUUGGUCGGGGGCCUGCUAGGUUCGACAGGACCCCGACCCUUCCUUCGCUUCUCCUUCAGGCCCUUGGGCUCGGCCAAGCGUCGGUCGGAGGCUCCUUCGUCCGC